CACCCAGGCUAUAGUGCAAUGGCGUGAUCUCAGCUCACUGCAACCUCCACCUCCCUGAUUCAAGUGAUUCUCCUGCCUCAGCCUUCUGAGUAGCUGGGAUUAUAGGCGCGCGCCACCACGCCCAGCUAAUUUUUGUAUUUUAAUAGAGACGGGGUUUCACCAUAUUGGCCAGGCUGGUCUCCGAGCUCCUGACCUCAGGUGAUCCGCCUGCUUUGGCCUCUCAAAGUGCUGGGAUUAUAGGCGUGAGCCACCGCGUCCGGCCCAGGGACACGAUUAUUAAAGGGCAGAGAGCCAGACUGGGGAGGCAGGUGUGCUCCAUUCCCAAGCCCAUGCUUGCCCUGGCUCUGCCGGGAAGACAGUAGGUGCUUUGCUUCCUGAGAAAGGUCAGGAAGAGGCGUGGCUCCUCCAGCUGUACAGACGACCAGGCCAGAUCCACAUGGCCCCGUUUGGUGCUUGGAUGUCUGGUAAACUGCCUGCCAAGGAGGAACGCAGAGCCUCUUUGAAAAGGAGGAAGAGCUCGCAAAGGGUGACGGCAGAGAGAUGCCCAGAAUCUUGCAGGAGGAAGGAGAAUGCAGCCUAACUUGCUGGAAGGAUUCAGGAGACGUGUGAGUAAGAGCCAAGAUUUCCCAGAUCAGCCUACAGCCAAGAUAAGCACAGCUUUCUACCCAACCUGCACCUCACCACAGAGAAUGGAAGAAUCACUCAGCCAUCCUGUAUAUUGUAGCAAUAAUGUAUGGUUAUUUUUUCUAGGCACUGAGUUUUGGGAUGAUUUGUUAUGCAGCAACAGCUGGCUGCUACAGAGAUUGUGCCCACCCUCACAGCCCCCUGGAUCUGUGUGCUCGCACUGAGUUUUGGGAUGAUUUGUUAUGCAGCAACAGCUGGCUGCUACAGAGAUUGUGCCCACCCUCACAGCCCCCUGGAUCUGUGUGCUCUCACUGAAAAGCAAAAGUAACUUCUGUUUUUCUCUUCUCUGUGGCCACCAGGGCUGCUGCCCAAACAGAAAGGCAAUUUGCUUAGUGGUGGAGGUUGUGACCUCCAGAGUCAGACAGUCCUGGAAUCCUAUCCCAGCUGUGUGACCUGCAGUUGGCUUCUUAACCACUCUGUGCCUCAGUGUCUCCAUCUACAAAAGGCACAGUUUCUACCCCAUCAGGUUGUGGUAAGGACUAGAAAAGACAUUGGAAGUAAAGUGCAUGACACCAAAGUGCUCCAAAUGACAUUUUUUGUUGUUUAUUUGUGGUAGUUGAUGUUCAUAUUUUCCCAAAAAAGCCUCUUCUUAUCUUCAUCAGCCCAGAUUGCCUGAAUUUUUUGCCAGGAUAUCUUCCCAGUGGAGGGAGACAAGCUAGAAUUGGUAGCCACAUGCCUUUGGUGCAGAUUUCACAAACACUGUGAUUUUUGGCAAGCAGAGUCUGCCAGUUGCAUAGGAACAAGCCUGCCUGAUAACAUCCCAGUUUAACCAUCUCCAAAGCACUUUCAUAUCCAUGCUCAGAUUUGAAAGCCUCACAAGAAUCCUGGGAGGUGGGCAAGGCAGGAGCUGGCAGCCCCAUUUUAUAGACGAAGACACUGAGGUUUAGAGAGUUCCCCUGACUUGCAGAAGUUAAAAUGUGGCCCAGGUUAUCUGGUCACAGAGGAGAGCUGCCCCUGUCCUGGGCCACUCAACCUCUCCCACAGGGACAGAUCUCAGCCGUGGAGAUGCUGGAAAGAGCUCUGGAAUCCCUGAUGAGGGGCUACACCCUAGAGUCCUAAAUGUCCCUCUGUAGAAUACGAUUUUAUUCCCUGAGCAGGAGGGAUCUCUUCCUCUCCCUGUGCCAGCGGAGUAGUUUGGGAGUUAUAGUGGGAGAUCUCUUUAGUAUUUAGCAAAAUCAGGAUUUUAAAUUUAAUGGUGAUUAGGCAGGGUCCCUUCACACUGUCUAUCACCCCCGACAGAGUUAAAACAUCAAUAACAAUGCGGGUCCCAAUGGAGAUCCUUGUCCCCAGCGUCAUGAUGUCCAGGGAGCCUGGUUAUGGAUGUAGCCAGCUGUCUCACUGACUCUCUCCUUUGGGUUUAGCCUCACCUGCCAGCUCACUGGGUGUAAACAGGAGGUGGAGGGGUUCUUGCUGUGUGUUAUGUAUUUAUUCAUGGGUUUACUUAGUUGCUUCUCUACAAAACCAAACAUUGCCCCCUUUUUACCUCUUCUUCCCAAAAGUUACUUUCAGAGUUUGCCAAGAAGCCUGGAAAGUUGUUAUGGCUUCAGGAAGGCCCAAAACACAACCGAAAAACAAAAACCAAAAACACAGUGCAGCAAUAUUAAACAGCAUUGUGGAAAGAACUGCCCUGUAAAAUGGCUUUUGUGUUGGCCAGCUCCCUUCCAUAGCGGGUAGACUAUUAAAUGGGUGUAGCCAGAAGGAAUGGGCCAUUUUGCCGUCUACUCUCUUCCCUUACUAUUCUAUCAUAAGCAUUUUCCUUGUUGCAGCACAUUAAAUUAUGGUGUAUGCACCAGUAGAAUUUUAGACAGUCAUGAAAAAAAUGAUUAUUACAAAGAACAGAUUGUUUCUUGGAAUGCACCUUCCUGAUGAGGCAGCACCCUUUCUCAUUCUGUGCUUUGUAAAAAUUGCAAACUGGCUACCAGGCCUCAGAUGUCCCCCAGAGCUCCCUGUCUGAGGACAGAGCAAGGUAGAAAUCAUCUCAAACCAAGCUGAGCCCUGUGGUCUGGAGUGUCCCAGCUACAGGCAUAGUAUGCACCCUGCCCAGACCCCUGGCAAGCCCCUAUGCCCAGUCCCCCCUUCACACUCAUUUUUGGGUUGGUGCUGCUUUCUAGUUUUUCUCUCUGAUCUGUUACUCUCCUAGAACGUAAGGGCCUGGGAGGCAGGAAUCUCAGUUUAUCAGACUCUCCCGUUAUCCUUGUAUAAUAUUUGCAUUAAUGGGGACAAUGAUGGUGUUGAUGAUGGUAGGAGGAAGUUUAGUGCCUGGUAAAGCACUUUGGGACCCACAGACUGGAGUUAGGUCCCAGGACCCUCACUGACCAUCUUGCUUUGACGCUUUUGACCUUGACUUACACGAGCAUCAUCUCUGAUCCUCAUCACUGCUUUGAGAUGGUGAAAUUAUCAUCAUCCCCAUUUUUGAAGCUGAAGAAACUGAGGCACAGUUUAAGUAGCUGCUUCCAAUGUGAUAGAGUGAAUGAGGGUUAGAGAAACCUGGAUUCAAAGCCUGCCUCCACCCGCUACUGUCUGAUGCUGGCAAGUUUUGCAACCUCUCUGCACCUCCCUGUCCUCAGCCAGCCCCUGCACGGGCUUAAUAAAUUCUAACCACUCAUCCCUUCCCACAUGCUGUGAGCAAAUAACUGCUUGGGAGCUACUGGGCUCCGGGCAGAGAGCAGCUCUGCCUGAGUCACUCCGGAGCAACUGGUAUUGAUUGGGUGGGCACACCACCAGUGGCUGGCAGGGUGGGCCCCUAACCUCUGCCACCCCCGCCUAGGCCUCUUGUUCCUCUGUCUCCAAUCUCAUCCCACCAUGGCUGUGAAGAACAAGCCCACCUUCCUGCCUCAUGCCCUUCUCUGGGUCCUCUCAGCCACAGCAGCCCCCAACCUGCAUUUUCACCCUCCUCCAAACAGGCACUCCAUGGAGGGUCUGCCCUCAGCCCUGCAUUGCUGAGAGAGCCUCACUGGAGGCAGGGGACAACUGAGGGGUCCUAGACAGGAUGCUCUCAGGAGAUGG
rnacentral:lncRNA from 10 species